rnacentral:rRNA from 1 species
UUCGCAAUGCCCGAAAGGGUGACGAAGCGACGCCGCGUGGGUGAGGAAGGCCUUCGGGUUGUAAAGCCCUGUCAAGAGUUAGGAAAUGUAGACUCGCUAAUAUCGGGUCUAUUUGACAAAGGCUCCAAAGGAAGCCACGGCUAACUCUGUGCCAGCAGCCGCGGUAAUACAGAGGUGGCAAGCGUUGUUCGGUAUUAUUGGGCGUAAAGAGCACGUAGGUGGUUUUGUAAGUCAGAUGUGAAAGCCUUCUGUUCAAAGGAAGAACGGCAUCUGAAACUGCAGAUCUUGAGCGUAGGAGGGGAGAGUGGAACUUCUGGUGGAGCGGUGAAAUGCGUAGAUAUCAGAAGGAACGUCGGCGGCGAAAGCGACUCUCUGGCCUAUUACUGACACUGAGUGUGCGAAAGUUAGGGGAGCAAACGGGAUUAGAUACCCCGGUAGUCCUAACUGUAAACGAUGGGCACUAAGUAGAGGGGUUUU